rnacentral:rRNA from 1 species
CAUGUCUUUUUGAUUAUAAUUUAAGGUUUAAUCUGCUCAAUGAGGAUUUAAAUUGCCGCGGUAUUUUGACCGUGCAAAGGUAGCAUAAUAAUUAGUUUUUUUAUUGAAAGCUGGAAUGAAUGAUUGGACGAGAAAAUUACUGUCUCUUUAUGAUUUAAUUUUGAAUUUAACUUUUGAGUCAAAAGGCUCAAAUUUAAUUUAAAGACGAGAAGACCCUAUAGAGUUUAAUAUUUCUUGGUCUAUCAUAAUUUUGGUAUUUAUUUUUGUUAGGUUAAGUUUUAUUUGGUUGGGGUGACUAGAAGAUAAGUUAAACUCUUCUUUAUUUUAUCAAUGAUUUUUGAAUAGAUAAUCUGGUAUUUGCCAAAUUUAAUAAAAAUUACCUUAGGGAUAACAGCGUAAUUUCCUUUUAGAGUUCUUAUUGGAAGGGGAGUUUGCGACCUCGAUGUUGGAUUAAAAUUAAUUUCUGGCGCAGAAGCUUGAAUAUUGAGUCUGUUCGACUUUUAAAAUUUUACAUGAUCUGAGU